CUCUGACCUUUAACUUCCUGUUUAACAAGAAAAGAAACAUAAAAUUAAGGCGGGGGGAAAACGGGAAAAAGCUCCACCUCUCUCUCUCCCUCCUUUCAGCUCUUCCAGGAGUCAAAAGUCUGCCACGUCGAUUCUGAAAAAUCCACAUUUGAAAGUACGAAAGAUGCUGUGUGUUACAAACGAAUGCUGCAUAUCUUAUUUUGUUUAUCUGUUUUCAAAGACUCUGCUCCUAAUCUAAGAUGGAUUUUCUGAGUCGACGGGGGUGAAAGGGCCAGGAAACCCAACGCCUCUUGUCAUCCACAUUCUUCGCCUUCUCGUACCACCAUCAAACACUCAGAGGUUUUAAAGGACCCUCCUCUCCUUCUCCCCCACUCACCUAACACUCUUUUGGCAUCUCACACACUCGGACGUCCAGAGAAAAAGAGAGACAGAAGGAGAAAAGGAAGGAUGAAGGUUUUCGGAGGACGAUCGGAACAUCUAAUGCCAAAUCUGACUGGCACAGAUGCACGAACUUUGAGUACUGUUGGACUCAUCUCAUCUCCCCGUGAAGCGUCAUGCCUGCCCCGCUUUCCCAGUGUUCAGACUACCUGUUCAGGGCGUAGAGAUUGUACAGUAGUCUGCACAUUGGUUAGGCUGUGUGGGGGGUGCACAGUUCUGUUCAUCAACAGUCUCGUCAUCAUGUCUCUGUACGUCUUCCCAUGGAAAUGUGCAUGCCUUCAUGUGCUAAGUAAUGUCUGUGUAUUUAAGCGUCUUUGGGGAAGCGGAUUACACAGCAAGGUUAGCUAAAUCUGACAAAACUUUCCCAGGAGACAUUUAGAGAUCUCCUCUGCAGAAAAAUCAAUAAAGUUAUGCAAAUAAAGUUAAAGAAAUAAUGCUUAUCUGUUUAUUUAUGUUUAUUUUUUUUUUUUUUAUUAAUUCUAAAAAAAACUCUCACUCUGUUUGCAAGUUCUAUUGA